rnacentral:rRNA from 1 species
AUACGAAGGGUGCAAGCGUUAAUCGGAAUUACUGGGCGUAAAGCGCGCGUAGGUGGUUCGUUAAGUUGGAUGUGAAAGCCCCGGGCUCAACCUGGGAACUGCAUCCAAAACUGGCGAGCUAGAGUACGGUAGAGGGUGGUGGAAUUUCCUGUGUAGUGGUGAAAUGCGUAGAUAUAGGAAGGAACACCGGUGGCGAAGGCGACCACCUGGACUGAUACUGACACUGAGGUGCGAAAGCGUGGGGAGC